rnacentral:tRNA from 1 species
AGGAUAAUAGUUAAAUAUAACAUUUGGGUUGCAUUCAAAAAGUAUUGAUUAUUUCAAUUUAUCUU